GCCUGGGUGGCUCAGUGGGUUAAGCAUCUGACUUCAGCUCAGGUCAUGAUCCCAGGGUCCUGGGAUCGAGCCCCAUGUCAGGCU
rnacentral:tRNA from 1 species